UAGAGGAAGUCACAAGAUUUAUACAGUCCCUUUGAUAUUUUAUUUAACCCGAUAACUGCUUGGGAAGGUAGGAGCCUGUUUGGUUUACCUUUGUCCUAGAUUCAGUUUUAAUAUCUAAUGCAUAAAUGAGAGGGGUGAUCUUUAUUCCUAAUGAUUCAUGCUGCCUCAGAGCACCGUGGUUUCGAGUUGUGCUGCCUUUCCCACUGGGGGAUGCAAACAAAAGAACAAUAAUUUCAGACUCCUCCUUCAGUUUCCAAGAGAACCUUAGCUGCUCAGGGAUAGCUCUGAAUUUUAAAAGCAUUUUUCUUCCAAAUUAUGUAUUGAUUGCACAUAAAAUAGCAGUGCUGUAAUGUGCAAUUUAAAACAAAUGCAUGAUGGCGCUCAUUUGCUUUUAAUGCUGCUUUUUUCCAGCAGAAAACAAAAAGGGGUUUCUGUUCCCAUAAACCAGUCUUGCAAAACCCUUACAAACAUUUAUUAGUCUAGACACAAAAUAUUCUCACCCAGCCUCAUCCUGACGAUGGCAAAAAGAAACCGACAAGCUAAUAUUGUACUUGGCUGUCCAGAAAAAAUAAAAAAGAAAGGGAUGCUGGGGGUGAAGGGUGGGAAUCUAGCCCCAGGCCACCAAACCAGUAACGUUUUGCUGGGGCUGCCUACAACAACAGAUGCGUUUGAUUCCUGUGGGUUUUCCAGGCCUGCCUAUUCUCUUAUGCUAAACUUGGACACUCUCAUAAACAUUCUCUCUCAGCACCACACCCUGGUCUUAUCCUGGACUCCUUGGAGUUGGUUGAUUUAAUAAUGACAUUAGACACUUUGUCUUGCCUCUCUUUACCCGUUUCUCUGUUCCUCUUCUUGCCCUGGAAGUGACUUAACUAAUGCAUUAAUUCAAAAACAUUUAAAAUAUGUGGGAAUUGGAAUAACUGGUCGAAAUCAAAAUGAUUUAAUAUGGGAGAUUUGACCACAGUUUAAGUCUGAACGUAUGGAGCAUUGGUCUAAAUGAUCUAUUCUAGUUUUGAACUGCAUUUGGACUUUUGAUAUCUUUCAUAAAUAGCAAAUGCUUCUUAUUGUUUGGUUCCAUGGUUGUUUGCAGACUUUUGCUUAGAGGGAUAAAUUCUCUAUAUAAGUGUUAUUUUAUCAGGUGUUUACCUCAGCAUUCAGUUACUCACAUUAUUAAUUUUUACAUCUCAUCAUUUUCUUAGAAAAUAGUGAGUUACACAUAUCUUGUGUUUCAGACAACGAUUAGCUUCUGUCACUCCAAUUUAUGCCAGACUGCAUUUGGUCGGAAAUUAAAAUUUAAUUGAAAAUUUGCCUAAGCAGCAUAAUGUGUCUGUAUUAUUAAUUAGUUGCUGUAAAUAUGGAGAAUAUACAAGAAUACGUGUUUGUUGAAGCUUUUAAAAACCCAUAAAGGAGUCAAAAUACAAUACUGACUUACACUUAGUAGAUUACAUUGAUUGUUUCUGUGAUGAUAUAUCCAUGUAUGUUCAGGUUUUAGCCCCAGUGGAGCUCGUGCUCAAAUCCUAACUGGAGAUCUUACAUAGGAAAUAAAAUGUCCUGCUUUUUCAGUUCUGAGGGGGUGGAAACUUCUCUUGUCAUUCAGAAGAUGAUUUGCAUCUCCGCUCAGUGCAACUGUCUUCAAAGUGAAUGGCUUUCUAUACAGUUAGUCAUUGAUUGCCACUGAUUCCAUGUUUUCACCAAGAAUUUCCAAGUGGCAUCUAAAAAGAAAAUAUAUAUAUAUUAACCAAGUUGUUUUUUCUUCGUUUUUAUAUUCCAUUAAUAAAAAUGGAUCUGUUUAUAGUUAGAACAGUACUUCAGCCAGUGAUCAGUGUACUUAAAGGCGGAUGACUGCUUUAAUGUUGAUAAACCAGGUGUUACUUACGAGGGAAUGUGUUCAGUGCAUUCGUAAAAUAUUAACAUAAAUUAACAAAGUGUUUCUAAUUAAUUGAUUUUGAUUUUCCUCCUCUAAGUAAUAGCAUGCUUAAAUGCAGCACUGAUUGUUCUCUUCCUGCGUGGCCCCCAAUGCUAUCUUCUGUGGCAUGCAAUUUUCUUGAGGUUUUCUCAUGCUUCUUAAGUCUGUUUUCGUAGCACACAUGGUAUUUUAAAUAAAAUUCUACUGUCAAUUCUCAUUUAAAUCAGUCAGAACACUGUUUUGACCCUAGGAUAUCUAUGCAGCUUUAAAUUACCUGUAUAUUUUAAAACAAAACUAAUCCGAUUUUGUGUUUAAACUUAAUGUAAAAGCCCUGCAGCUAUUCAUUUGAAGCACAGUGUUUUAUUUAACUGCAUACUUUUCACUUAAAUCUCGUUGUCCUAAUUUUCCAUGAUUAUACCAGUACAUUGCAGACAGGUGAAAUAAAGUAGCCUGUUUGUUUAAUCCACUUUCUCUCUUCCCUGCCAGGACAGCUGGGCUCCUUCUGCCAGAGUAGCUCACACCACUGACAGCUCUGGGAAAGCAGAAAAAGGUGCAGCCCCUGUUCUACCUAUGGCAGCGUCUCCCGGACUGGAGGUGUUGAACAACUGAAGAAACUGGCUCCGUAAAACAUCAUCUUUCACCUUCCUCACUGAAAGGCAGUACAGUUGCAGUCCCAUCAGAGCAGAUUAUGGCUGUACUGAGCUCUGUGCAGAAUAGUUCUUGGCUUGGAUACAGCGACUCAGACAGAAUGGUGGUGGAUGUGGACUUUAAAACAGUGUCUCAACAUUUCAUCCUCAACUGUCCCUUUUUAAUCUGAUUGCACUACAAAAGAAAAGCUGCUAAUGGGAUAAAUGUUGAGACGUUACAAGAACUGACUUGAAGUACCAAAAGCCAUUAUUAUUAAUCAAGAAGAGCUUGAAGCUAAGUCUGUAUCUGACCAGUCAGUAUCACUUUCACCUAACAGGCAUGGCAAGUAAACGAAAAUCAACAACACCGUGCAUGGUCUUAGCCAACGAGCAAGAUCCGGAUCUGGAAAUGGUAUCAGACUUGGAGGAAGGACCACCUGUAGUCACGCCAGCAGAUAAUAAUCCUACAGCAGAGAGCAUAGCAAGUGAAGAGGAUGUUCAUGAGAGUGUGGAUUCAGACAAUCAGAAAAGUACAAAUAAAGUAGAAGGUGGUUAUGAGUGUAAAUAUUGUACUUUUCAGACUCCAGAUCUCAAUAUGUUUACUUUCCAUGUGGAUUCAGAACAUCCCAAUGUAGUAUUAAAUUCAUCCUACGUUUGUGUAGAAUGCAAUUUUCUUACCAAAAGAUAUGAUGCUCUCUCAGAACAUAAUUUGAAGUACCACCCUGGAGAGGAGAAUUUUAAGUUGACCAUGGUGAAACGUAAUAAUCAGACAAUCUUUGAACAAACAGUAAAUGAUCUCACUUUUGAUGGGAGUUUCGUUAGAGAAGAAAACGCUGAACAGGCUGACCCUUCUGAGGCCCCCUCCGCGGGGAUCUCCAUUAGCAAAACUCCUAUUAUGAAAAUGAUGAAAAACAAAACAGAGACUAAACGCAUCGCUGUUUUCCACAAUGUGGUCGAUGACAUUCCUGGUGAAGAGAAGGGAAAGGAAAAUGAGCCAAACUCCGAAGAAGCAGUAGAAAACCAACCAGCACCGGCAGUUUCUGAGUCCAAAGCGAGCCAUUCGGUUGUUUGCAGUGCAGCCGAUGUAGCUAGCACGGUUGUGACCCCAGUGAUUCAGCCUGGGGUGGCACAGGUUAUAACAGCUGUUACAGCUCCACAGAACUCAAACCUGAUCCCCAAAGUCCUGAUACCUGUAAACAGCAUUCCAACCUAUAAUACUGCUCUGGACAACAAUCCUCUUUUGCUCAACACCUAUAACAAAUUCCCGUAUCCAACCAUGUCGGAGAUCACCGUUCUUUCCACUCAAGCUAAGUACACAGAGGAACAGAUUAAAAUCUGGUUUUCUGCCCAACGUCUGAAACAUGGUGUGAGCUGGACACCAGAGGAAGUGGAGGAAGCAAGGAGGAAACAAUUUAAUGGCACAGUGCAUACUGUGCCACAGACAAUUACCGUUAUUCCGGCGCACAUUUCCACUGCCAGCAAUGGUUUACCUUCAAUUUUACAGACAUGCCAAAUAGUUGGUCAGCCAGGACUUGUUCUCACUCAAGUCGCAGGUGCAAAUACGUUACCAGUCACGGCCCCAAUAGCUUUGACUGUAGCAGGAGUCCCAAACCAAACCCAGCUACAGAAGAGUCAGAUUCACACUGCUCAGCCUAUCGCAGAAACCAAACAAGUCGCUGCCGUUCCAGCCCCUCAGCCUAUCAAAAAUGAAACUGCACUAAUGAAUCCCGAUACCUUUGGCAUGCGAGCAAAAAAAACCAAGGAGCAACUGGCAGAAUUAAAGGUCAGCUACCUUAAAAAUCAGUUUCCUCAGGAUUCAGAAAUUAGUAGGCUUAUGAAAAUAACAGGCCUGACGAAGGGAGAGAUCAAAAAGUGGUUCAGCGAUACACGCUACAAUCAGAGAAACUCAAAGAAUAACCAUGGGAUUCAUCUCAACAGUGACUCAUGUGCCACCAUCAUUAUCGAUUCAAGUGACGAAAUGAAUGAGUCCCCAACAGGAGUUGCUCCACAGAACAAGCCGUCCUGGAGUGCAUUUCCUGACUUCACCCCACAGAAGUUCAAAGAGAAGACUGCUGAGCAGUUGCAAAUCCUCCAAGCAAGUUUUCUUAAUAAUCCUGUCCUUACUGAUGAAGAGAUGAAUAGGUUAAGAGCCCAAACCAAACUUACCAGGAGAGAGAUUGAUGCCUGGUUUGUGGAAAGAAGGAAAUCUAAUGUCUUAAAGGAGGAGGGAACUGAGAUGAAUGAGAGCAAUGCCAGCAGCUCGAAGGAAGAAGCUGGAGAAACAUCUGCAGGGGAUGGAACAGCAGGGUCAAAAUCAGGGGGCUCUGCUCCAAGCAAAAUAGGCAAAAAAUCACCAGAGCAGUUGCACAUGCUUAAAAGCUCCUUUGUUCGUACUCAGUGGCCAUCUCCACAAGAAUACAACAAGCUGGCAGAAGAAACAGGGCUCCCAAGAUCAGAAAUUGUGAGUUGGUUUGGAGAUACUCGCUAUGCCUGGAAAAAUGGGGGAUUGAAGUGGUAUUAUUAUUACCAGAGUGCCAAUGCAAACAGUCUGAAUGGCCAGGGCUUCUCAAGGAAGAGAGGGAGAGGAAGACCAAAGGGGCGAGGAAGAGGGAGGCCUCGAGGGAGGCCUCGGGGAAGCAAGAGGUUAAAUUGCUGGGACCGAGGUGUGUCUGUCAUAAAAUUCAAAACUGGAACAGCAAUCCUGAAGGACUACUAUAUGAAGCACAAAUUCCUUAAUGAGCAAGACCUUGAUGAACUUGUAGCUAAAUCUCACAUGGGGUAUGAGCAGGUCAGAGAGUGGUUUGCAGAAAGGCAGAGAAGAUUAGAACUCGGAAUAGAGCUGUUUGAGGAGAACGAGGAGGAAGAUGAAAUGUUGGAAGAUCAGGAAGAUGAAGAGGAAACGGAUGAUAGCGAUACUUGGGAACCCCCACGACAUGUUAAGCGUAAACUUUCAAAAUCAGAUUGAUGUGCAGUUUGGAAUCUGGGAGCCAAAAACCCGUGAAUUAGGCUUGAUGUUAUGGUGAAGAGCCAAACAAUUUUUCACGGCCUUCAGCUUCAGCAAGCACCUGCUUAGCAUCUUCGUUGCACCUGAAGGAACGUGGGCAAGAUGCUGUCUGCGCAGGCAACAGAUAUUUGCUUCCUUGCUACCAGAGAUGGACGUCCUCGGGCCUAGCUGAGCAUGUGGGGUUAUAAAUCAGCGCCAGUUCAGCUCCUCCUCUUCCACGUGACCAGUGGGAAGGUUCAUUGUUCACGUGACUGCUUCUCAAUAUUUAAUUGCCUUAUCUUGUUUAAUUCCAAAAAACAAACCACAGACACAUUUUGUUGUUGUUGUAGGAGAACAUUACCUGCUCGCAAAGGAGGAAAAUGCAAAAACCUAAGAUGUCUUUUUGCAAAUAUCACUUCACCUGAAAGGAUUCAAGGCCUGGGUUUAUUUCUUAAGGAAAGAAUUCAAAAGAGAAGGGGAAAAGUGUGACAAAGGAAUCAAUGAACAUAGGGGUGAGGAUUGCUUGGUUUAAGAAAAUGAGGUGAUUUUGGCACCUUUUGCGUAUCUUCAGAGUGUUUUGGGUUUACAGAACUUGUGUUGAAAUGUUUCUUGCUGAUAAUUACAAGCUAACUGAAUGAGUUUACUGCUAGAAAAUGCUUUUUGUUAAAUUUAAUCAGCAUAUCUUACAUCAGUUUAAUUUAAAUGCCUGGCAGACUUGAUGCAGUUGAUAGUAACGUUCAUUUUUAGCUUGUGCAUUCUUUACUUUUUUGGAAAAUGGUUAGAAGCUAUGUGUAUUUCUAACAAACAUGAGUAAUUUCUUGAAAUCUUACACUGUAUUUUAAGGUAAACGUGAGGUGGGAACUGCCUAAAAGUCGUUCACCAUUGCUUAGGGUUUUGUAUGAAUACACAGAUACAGAGAUGAAAAGUGUCUUCAGGUGCUAGCAAGAAAGGUUUUCAAGUAUGCGGUGGCAGUGACCUGCUUUUUAAUUUUCAAGCAAAAUGAAGCUAUAUGCCUUUUAGGUGCUUAAAAAUGAGAAACAAACCAGUGUUCAACUGUUUGUUAAUGGUAGCCCAAUUGAAUGUUUUGCGUGCAAGUUUAACUUAAAAUUCAUCCUACUGAAUUGAGCUCACCGAUAGAACAGCCCUGUUCUUAGGGCUGUUGGGUGAACACUUAUUUGUAGAGAUGGUUUCAUCUACGUGAACUGAACUCCAAAAGUAGUCUAAUCUGAUAGGGAACAUCUGCAUCUUGAGUAAGUGCUUAUGUAUAUAUAUAUAGAAUGGCUUUUUAUACGUGUAUAAAAAGCCAUUCAAUUUCAAGGUAAUGAAAUAGUGGCAUAACCAACUUAAAAAUAAUGGGCCAAAUUCAUGAAAGCUAGGCUAUGCAGAUAUCUGACAUCAUAGAAAACUGGUACUCCAAGAAGAGUAGUUUGUGUUCUGGCUACUGUCAGUCUGUAUUUUUUAGGGCUGAGUUAUAUUUAGACGUCAAAAAUGGAUGAUGAGUUGGUGCUGCUGUCACCAGCAUUGUCUGCUUUACAUGGGCACUAACAGGAACUAUCCUAGUAGCUCCCUUUACACCUCCGCCAACAUCUUCUCUGCAGGCAUUUGCAUCUAUUGACCUACAAGAGAGAUUAGCGUGGAGAAAAUGUUCCCUAAUACUUCUACAUCUCCAAGAAAUACUCUUUCUUCCUUACUGUGAUAACUGACUGUCCAGAGUCCAAGGAAGUGCUUUCAGUGAUGAUUUUCCGAAGCAGAGGAGUUCAUGUUAGAUCUGUUUUUCAUGUCAGAUUGUGAGUGAAACCUGGGUGAAAAAAAGAAAGGGGAUAAUGUCUGACCAAAAAAAAAAAGAAGUGUUGUUAACUUACCUGACUCACCUUCCUCCCUGCACACAUGUAGCUGCCUUUCUGCUCUCUGAUUGAAUGGGCUGCCUGAAUUGCAAGAUGAUGUUCCGCUUGAAAGCCUUUUUCUGACCUUCUGAGAUUGCUAGAAAUACUGAUGUGUGUGACACAGUUUUGGUUAUCAAACUGUUUCCUGGCAUCCAAGACUCAGCAUGUAUGUAUUUGCACUGUGUACUGUGGGAGAGAGGGAGACACCUUCCAGAGGCCUCCUGCAUCAGAAAUGACAAGAAAAGCACUGGAAAGAGCUGUCAGCGUGCUGGUGGCUGACAGGAUGGACUGCUUUGUCUGUAACUUGUGGUCGUGGCUGGUUGGAGCUCAAAACUGCUGGUGACUGUGGUUAGUCCAGAUUCAUCUCAUCUCAUGUUAGGCUGCUGUGCUCCUUACCAUGGUGCCCAAGGCAUAACUGCAUAGUCUGAGAGAAAUAGAAAUUGUUGAGGGGAUACAGCACAUCUUCAUUCUCCCCCUGAAUUGAUGUGAGCAUCAGUUCCUCUGGAGCGAAAGUUGAGCUUUCUCUUUCAUCUGCUGUCUCUGCCAAGAGUACCUGAUGUUAUGAUGCUAGUUAAUGCUGUCUUUGAAAUACAGUUAACUGGGGAUGAAGGUAAUCCUUUGCUAGAGUUGAGAGGGAGAAGGGCUAAAAGCAAGCAAGCAGUGUCACAGCUGGUGAGCCAUCCACUGUCCCUGGCCACGGUGCUUCAUAGCAUGUUCUGCUCUUGCUUCUGAGUACAAUGGAAAGCACAGUUCUGUCUAAGUAAUGCUGGCUUCCCAGUGACACCCUCUUAAUAACCCCAAGAUUGGUGUGAGUUAGAAAGUCAGAGUUACUCUCCCUUGCUUUGAAUGAACUAAGGGAGUGCUUGUGUGGUGUGCAAAGAAGGGAAAAUGCAGAAUCUUGAAGAGACUGCCUGUUGCUUGCCCUGCAGAAUUCACUUACCUAGAACUUGCUGAGCAAAACAAAUGUCACUCUUGCUGUUUUGACAGAACAAGUGUUGCAGUCUUUCGUGUUUAGCAUGUGGAAAUUUCUGCUUUGAUUUGAAAGCAAAAGAAAGAUAUCUGGCACCUCGUGAUUAGAAUUUACUGGAUUAUCUCUAAUACACCUUAGUAAAUUAGGCCAUUUGAUUUUUCAGCUUUGUCCAAUAAUGAUUUUAAAACUUUAUUUUUUUUUUUCCCACAGCAUUAUGUGCAGUAUUGUUUCUGUCUGUAACUUUGAAGGAAACUCAUGCAGAAUCCACACAUGGCAUGAAAUGUUUUUUUCUCAUGCAUGACUUCCUGACUUUGGGCAAAAGCCUGUUUUCCUCCUGCUCACCAAGGCAGGCAAAUACACUCCCUUCUCCUUCUCAGAGCAGGAAAAGGACUUUUGAAGCCCAUGCAAAGUGAUUCACAGCGCGAUGCAGUCCCAAAGGCCAGAAAGCCCCAGCAUGCAGACAUUCUCCUCCUCCUUCUCUAUUUUCCUCUGAAAUGAGAGCACAGCAGUAACUCUGACAACUGGUCUCUGGCUGCUGAGUAAUAAGCUGUAGUUUAAGGUCAGGAGUAUUUUCCCUUUUGCACUUAAUGGAGUACUGUGUAUUCGAAUUGGAUCUCAGUGUUUGCUUUUGUAGAUACGACGGUCCCAAUUUGCAUCCUCCACCACCUCCUCCUCUCUGUAUAUUCAUAUCUCCCAAGGAGAGAAGAUAAUUGUUAAGAUUCUGUAAUGUUAAAUAUCCCUGCCCUUACCUGAAUACACACAAAUGUAGAGCGCAAUGAAAUAUAGUUGCUUUCUUUAAUUUAUUAUUUAUUGGAAGAUAAUUUUGCCUGCAUUUAGUAGUAAUGAAAACAUAGUAUUGAUGAGAGAACAGUAAAACAGUUGAGAGGUGCUCACAGUGCCUGGGAUGAUCGUAUAAAUUCCGGAUGGGAAGGGCAAGUGCAGGGCUCGGUUCCCUGCCCUGAGCAGUGCUGCAUUAUGCCUGUGUUCUCCACCAGGCUUUUGAUAUCCUAGGGCUGAGUAGAUGUGGUACGUGGCAUGACACAAACUUGUUGGGUCAAGUGACUUAAGGUUUGUGAUGUAUUAAAACUAGGUAGGAAAUGAAAGCUGUAGCAGAAGGCGAACAUUUCUAUAACUGUACGUGCUCAGUAGCUUGAAUUUGUGUAUUAUUAUCUCACUUUUGAAAAGGGAGGUUUUGAAGCACAGGCAGUUUGUAGACAAUAUUUUCGAGCUUUUGGGUUUUUUCCUUCUGCAGUGAAGAGCAUCUGCAUUUUUUUCAGUGGAUACUCAUUUAAAAAUGACUUAAUGCAGCAUUUAAAAUGUGGAAUGGUAACUGUGGAUCCCACGGCACUUUUCAUGAAUUAAGGUGGGAUUCACCUGAUUGUAUGUCGAUGUCUGCACGUGAGCAAGGCACCGCAGUAGCUGAUGGGUAUAGCUAACGAGUGCAUGUCAGCAGCUCAUCCUGACCGCCUACAAUCGAUCAGACGAGCUGCACCCUAAACUCCACUGACUGUUACAAGUGGCUGGCAGACACUGGAGCCAUCUGAAGUUAGGUGAGAUGCAGCCUCACCUUGGAGCGUGCUGGCUGGCUGGCAGCACUGGGCGUUGUGCCCCGUUAGGCUCUCCUUGUGGUUAGCCGUGGUUCUGUCCUCUGCUGCCCACCUGGUGCAUGUUGGGAGGUGUGAGGCCUUGCUUUGGUUUUGGUGGUUAUUCUAGAGCAGGCGGCACUGCAGUGGUGGAUAAAGUAACUGAUCCUUGGUUAAAGAACUGUGAUGUAAACAUGGCUUGGGGGUUUCUAAAGUUUUUGAGAACCUUACUAUAUGAACAUCGGAUUGUGCGUAUCUUAAAAUGUGGUAAGACAAGUAAGGCUUGUGUCCCCACUGAUCAAAGCAUUUCCUUAUGCUUAGUCAGUAUUAGAUAUCUAUAAUGAAACUUACUGUAAAGAAUCUGCCAGAAAGACGGAAGAUUCGAGUUGUCUUCAUUUGUGAUACAAAACAACCAACCACAAGAGCUCCACUGCGAUUCGGAAAUGUUCCCCAUGCUUCCAGUUCCAGCUUACAGAAGCAUUUCCAAUUCUGCUUAGUUGGUUAUCUGCAUGUAUGCUUACAGUUUGUACAGAAAUGCACUAAAAAUGAGUUGCCCGACCCGGGAAGGCUUUAUAUUGUAUAGAAAAUGUGGCACUAGGUACUGCUCUUCAUGUGCACAGGAGAGUUAACAGGUGUCGAUCUCGUUUACAGAAAUGAUGGAGCUUUGCAAUUUUCUAUAAUACAUUGCAAUAUGUUUAAAUGUCCUGUUUGACAUGUGAAUUGAAAUUAAGUUAAUGCAUCGUUAUGUAUUUGAAUAUGAGGAAGACGAUUCACUAACGACCAGCAAGGUUUUUAGAAGGUGUCCAGUAUGUAGCAGUCUGUGUGAUCUGUCUGGUGUAUGUGAUGUUGUUAAAGGAAGCAACACUACUAGUAUCGUUUAGAAUUAAGAGUUUCUUACGAGUGAUGCAAUAGCUUACAGUGUCUUUCCUUUGUAGCUGCCCAAUGUGGUGAAGGGGAAGCAAUUGUUGAAAAAGUUCAAGAUAACUGGUUAACUGUGAAUGGGCCUAAUCUUUCGUGAAACCAAGAAAAUAUUUGGACACACACAGGACUUGAAUACUCAAAAGGAUUGGAACUUAGUGUUGUGCCAAAGUUAAACUACUGCAGUUGGCAGAAGUUCUGCACUGUAAAUAGAAGACUGAUUAAAAGACAGCUUGUAAAAAAGAAAAAAAGAUCAAAUUUUAAUACACUACGUUUUUAUUCUGAUACAUGACGGAAACAUUCUGUUUUAGACCUUUUUUGAAGAGGCUUCAGUGACCACUAGAUUUUGUCCUCUUAUAUUUUGUUUGGCCUAAUACUAUAUGUUCUAGUAAGAUGGGCUUUACUGCCUGUGUUCUUUGAUACGUGAUUAAGCUUAUAGCUUUGAGUGACCAAACAUUUUACAGAGUAAAAGUUCUUAGAAACACUAUAACGUAACUGAUAUUUCUGUGUCUUAUUUAUCAGGCUCUGCACAAACUUGGGAAGUUGUGCUGGACUUGUACAACUUACAUGUGGGAACGCAGCACACUGCUUGGUAUUACAAAGCUAAGCCUUUGAGGCAGUACGGAUCUUGUCUUUGGAUUUAUUUUUGUUAUUUUUUGAGGCAAUGAGAUGAACGGAUGCUGCUGUAAAAUAUUUGUAAUAUUGCCAUUAUUGCUUUCUGUAGCAACUACUGCUUUUGUUUCAACAGAUAAAGAAAAUAAAUCAGAGAUAGAAAAAUCCCAAAAGAAGCCGGUAGAAGAAAGGAUCACGUGGGAACUUCUGAAAAUAAACUUUGUACCAAAAAAUUUGAAAACAGAAGUAAUGGAAUAAAGGUCUCCUUACUGAC